AGUGAACGCUGGCGGUAGGCCUAACACAUGCAAGUCGAACGGCAGCACAGGAGAGCUUGCUCUCUGGGUGGCGAGUGGCGGACGGGUGAGGAAUACAUCGGAAUCUACUCUGUCGUGGGGGAUAACGUAGGGAAACUUACGCUAAUACCGCAUACGACCUACGGGUGAAAGCAGGGGAUCUUCGGACCUUGCGCGAUUGAAUGAGCCGAUGUCGGAUUAGCUAGUUGGCGGGGUAAAGGCCCACCAAGGCGACGAUCCGUAGCUGGUCUGAGAGGAGGAUCAGCCACACUGGAACUGAGACACGGUCCAGACUCCUACGGGAGGCAGCAGUGGGGAAUAUUGGACAAUGGGCGCAAGCCUGAUCCAGCCAUACCGCGUGGGUGAAGAAGGCCUUCGGGUUGUAAAGCCCUUUUGUUGGGAAAGAAAUCCAGCUGGCUAAUACCCGGUUGGGAUGACGGUACCCAAAGAAUAAGCACCGGCUAACCUCGUGCCAGCCGCCGCGGUAA
rnacentral:rRNA from 1 species